UGGCUCUUGCAUCGAUGAAGAACGCAGCAAAAUGCGAUAAGUAAUGUGAAUUGCAGAAUUCAGUGAAUCAUCGAAUUUUUGAACGCACCUUGCGCCUUUUGGUAUUCCGAAAGGCACACCUGUUUGAGUGUCAUGAAUUUCUCAACCCUGAUCUUUUUUGAAAAGUGUUAGUGGAUUGGAUCUUGAGUAUUGCUGUGUUUAAUUUGCAGCUUACUUUAAAACCAUUAGCCAAUUCUUAGUAUAACGGAUUGACUCGAUGUGAUAAUAUUUUCAUUGAGGAUGCUAAAUUGCAGCCGAAAUAUUCAAGGAUGACUUCUAACUUGCCUUCUGUGCACUAUGACUUUAGACCUCAAAUCAGGUGGGAUUACCCGCUGA
rnacentral:misc_RNA from 1 species